UACGGGGGGUGCAAGCGUUGUCCGGAUUUACUGGGCGUAAAGGGCGCGUAGGCGGUUGUAUCAGUCGGGCUUAUAAGUGCGGGGCUCAACCCCGUGAUGGGUUCGGGACGGUAUGACUUGGGCGCGGUCGAGGGAGACGGAAUGCCGGGUGUAGUGGGGAAAUGCGUAGAGAUCCGGCGGAACACCGGUGGUGAAGGCGGUCUCCUGGGCCGAGGGCCGACGCUGAGGCGCGAGAGCGUGGGGAGCGAACCGG
rnacentral:rRNA from 1 species